rfam:Macrostomum lignano uti_cns_0007027, whole genome shotgun sequence.
GGGGUUGUAGCCUAGCGGUUAGAGCGUCGGGCUCACGACUUGAAGGUCGGGGGUUCGAUUGCCGAUCCCA